rnacentral:rRNA from 1 species
GACGAACGCUGGCGGCGUGCCUAAUACAUGCAAGUUGAGCGAUGAAGAUUGGUGCUUGCACCAAUUUGAAGAGCAGCGAACGGGUGAGUAACGCGUGGGGAAUCUGCCUUUGAGCGGGGGACAACAUUUGGAAACGAAUGCUGAUACCGCAUAACAACUUUAAACAUAAGUUUUAAGUUUGAAAGAUGCAAUUGCAUCACUCAAAGAUGAUCCCGCGUUGUAUUAGCUAGUUGGUGAGGUAAAGGCUCACCAAGGCGAUGAUACAUAGCCGACCUGAGAGGGUGAUCGGCCACAUUGGGACUGGGACACGGCCCAAACUCCUACGGGGGGCAGCAGUAGGGAAUCUUCGGCAAUGGACGAAAGUCUGACCGAGCAACGCCGCGUGAGUGAAGAAGGUUUUCGGAUCGUAAAACUCUGUUGGUAGAGAAGAACGUUGGUGAGAGUGGAAAGCUCAUCAAGUGACGGUAACUACCCAGAAAGGGACGGCUAACUACGUG